rnacentral:pre_miRNA from 1 species
UAUAUAAUCCUUCCGUUUUAAAAUUCUUGUCUUAUUUGUUUAGAUAUGUAUCUAGUCAUGUCAUAGUAUUUAGAUACAUUUAUUUUUAGAUAAAUCUAAAACAAGAAUUUUGAAAUGGAGGGAGUAGGUC